UAUGUAUAGUGGCUGGAUUGGAGUCAACAGCUGUACAUGGUGAUCCAGUCACAUUCAACAACAUCACCAGAAAUUUUACUGAGGAAAGCUGCUGUGGUGCACUAACCACUGAUGGAACAUGCGGGUGUUUCAAAUAGUUCAAAAAUAUUGGCAACAAUCAUUCAACUAUAGUUUAAUCCCUAAAAAUAAAACCUGGUUUGAGGCUCAGCAGCACUGCAGAAAGAAUCACACUGAUUUAGUCAGUAUCAGAAAUCAGAGGAAAAAUUAACGAGUGAAUGAAGCAGUAAAUUGGAGUAACUCUAUCUAGAUUGGCCUUCGGUAUAAUUACAGCCUUGCAUGUUUUACUGGAUGGACAUUCUGGUUACAAAAAAAUACAUAUUGUGAGACGAGAAACUAAGCAUACAGGAUGCUUUACAUUUCUCUCAAAACAACCACCGGAAUCUUGGUCCAUAAGUAAUCUGAAUACCUGUGGUGCUCUUUGAUACAGAAG
ensembl:lncRNA